ensembl:lncRNA
AGCAAGAGGUAAAAACAUUUUAGACUUUGUUCACACCACACAGAGAGGAGCUUACAAAGCCCUCCCCCUCCCCCAGACCACAUCACUGUCAUGCUAAUGCCUGCAUACAGACCGCUCGUUGAAGUCGCCAAACCAGUGCACAAACAAAUUCAAGUGUCACUGGAAGGGUCGUCAGAGGCUCUUCAAGACUGUUUUGACACCACUGACUGAAAUAUGUUUAAGCAGGAUGCCACAUACAAUAACACCACAGACCUCCAAGAGUACUCAGAGACUGUCACUGCCUACCAAGUGUACUGAUGAUGCAACAGUCACGAAGACCAUAACUGUCCGGGCCAGCCAGAAGCCGUGGAUGACAGGGGAGGUCUACAGACUCCUUAAGACGCGGAAUGCUGCCUUCAGAGCUUUAGAUGAGGUGGGCCUGUUGACAGCUAGGGCCAACCUAUCCCGCGGCAUCAGACAUGCUAAGAGACAUUACUCCAGGAGGAUAGCCCAUCGUUUCAGCGACAGCAGAGACACCGGAAGCCUGUGGCAGGGGAUACAGACCAUUACCGACUACAAGCCCCCACAGUGGACCUGUGACAGCAACAUCUCCUUGCUGAACGAGCUGAACGCCGCCUUCUCUCGCUUUGAGGAGCAAGACAGCACCACUGCACAGAAGACUCCACCUCCUCCUGGUGACCAGGUGAUGACGCUGACCCCAGACAGCGUGAGGAGAUCCUUCAGCAGGAUCAAUGCUCGCAAAGCUCCAGGUCCUGACAACAUUCCUGGCUGUGUACUGAGAGACUGUGCAGCGGAACUCACUGAUGUCUUCACAGACAUUUUCAACAGCUCGCUUAGUCAGGCUGUUGUCCCCACAUGCUUUGAAUCUACCACCAUCAUUCCAAUCCCGAAGAAGCCGUGUCUAUCCUGCUUCAAUGACUACCGUCCAGUUGCACUUACUCCUAUUCUCAUGAAGUGCUUUGAAUGGCUAGUCAUGCACCAUAUCAAGUCUGCCCCCACCUCGCUGGACCCCCUCCAGUUUGCAUAUCGGU